GUGGCGGACGGGUGAGUAAUGCUUGGGAAUCUGGCUUAUGGAGGGGGAUAACUGUGGGAAACUGCAGCUAAUACCGCGUAUUCUCUGAGGAGGAAAGGGUGGGACCUUAGGGCCACCUGCCAUAAGAUGAGCCCAAGUGGGAUUAGGUAGUUGGUGGGGUAAAGGCCUACCAAGCCUGCGAUCUCUAGCUGGUCUGAGAGGAUGACCAGCCACACUGGAACUGAGACACGGUCCAGACUCCUACGGGAGGCAGCAGUGGGGAAUAUUGCGCAAUGGGGGGAACCCUGACGCAGCCAUGCCGCGUGAAUGAAGAAGGCCUUCGGGUUGUAAAGUUCUUUCGGUAAUGAGGAAGGGAUGUUGUUAAAUAGAUAGCAUCAUUGACGUUAAUUACAGAAGAAGCACCGGCUAACUCCGUGCCAGCAGCCGCGGUAAUACGGAGGGUGCGAGCGUUAAUCGGAAUAACUGGGCGUAAAGGGCACGCAGGCGGACUUUUAAGUGAGAUGUGAAAUCCCCGAGCUUAACUUGGGAACUGCAUUUCAGACUGGGAGUCUAGAGUACUUUAGGGAGGGGUAGAAUUCCACGUGUAGCGGUGAAAUGCGUAGAGAUGUGGAGGAAUACCGAAGGCGAAAGCAGCCCCUUGGGAAUGUACUGACGCUCAUGUGCGAAAGCGUGGGGAGCAAACA
rnacentral:rRNA from 1 species